GGUUGCGAUCAUACCAGCACUAAUGCACCGGAUCCCAUCAGAACUCCGCAGUUAAGCGUGCUUGGGCGAGAGUAGUACUAGGAUGGGUGACCCCCUGGGAAGUCCUCGUGUUGCAACCCC
rnacentral:rRNA from 2 species